GGGAAACAGGAAGAGGGGCCAGUCUCAGGCCCCACAACAAACCGGUGCA
rfam:Papio anubis isolate 1X1155 chromosome 5, whole genome shotgun sequence.